rnacentral:rRNA from 1 species
AUUGAACGCUGGCGGCAGGCCUAACACAUGCAAGCCGAGCGGAUGAAGGGAGCUUGCUCCUGGAUUCAGCGGCGGACGGGUGAGUAAUGCCUAGGAAUCUGCCUGGUAGUGGGGGAUAACGUCCGGAAACGGGCGCUAAUACCGCAUACGUCCUGAGGGAGAAAGUGGGGGAUCUUCGGACCUCACGCUAUCAGAUGAGCCUAGGUCGGAUUAGCUAGUUGGUGGGGUAAAGGCCUACCCAGGCGACGAUCCGUAAUUGGUCUGAGAGGAUGCCCAGUCACACUGGAACUGAGACCCGGUCCAGCCUCGUACGGGAGCCGGCAGGGGGGAUUAUUGGUCAAUGGGCGAAAGCCUGAUCCACCCCGCCCGCGUGUGUGCAGAAGUUCUUCGGUUUGGAAAUCUCUUUAGGUUGGGAGGGAGGGCUGUAGGUUAAUACCUUGCUUUUUCGACGUCACCAUCAGAAUCAGCGCCGGCUUACUUC